rnacentral:lncRNA from 1 species
CAGAAUGUUGGCUUGGCUGGCUUGGAGAGCAGAGACUGCUGUGUAGAGAGAGAGGGAGGGCUGUCCUCCAUGUUUUAGUAAGCAUUGACAUUACCCACUGUUUUAAGCCAUGCAUCCACAGAGAAAUACAGGAUUUUCUGGGAGACAGGGGACAAAAACCUGUCCCAACACCAAAGAGCUGGAUCCUGGCAGGCAGAGGCAACUCAGAAAUCACACUCACACUGUGUUUUAGUCACCAGGCUCGCAUGGCUGACCUGUGCUAACACUGUGACCAAACUGGCCUCUUCUGGUCUCUCUCCUAGUCAAGUUUCUCUAGAGCUGGUGAGGAGCACAGUUGUGUCGGGUUGUGUCACAGGCCAGGCCUCUCAAAAUGGAAGGCCCUGAGGAGCAGACAGUACAGACUGUAAGAGGAAGUGCAUAUGUAGACUGGCAGAAAGAUCGAGCAGCAGUUUUGGCUCAGGUUGCAAUUUAAGGACACUUGACACACUUUCCAAUGGCCGACAAAAUGCUGAAUGUCCAUUUUGCUCAGGCUAUAGGCCUAAAGCACAGAGCAGAUUGCAUUUGCUGACAGGGUUAUUGGAUCUGAAAUAGAAGAGACUUUCUUUUCUAUCAAUAGAUGCAUAUAGAUGGUAUAAUAGGCUUGUGUUUGUCUUACUGGGUUAAAUAGAGGCUUCUAUCUGUUUACUCAGGAUGUAAAGACUCUGUACAGGCCAGGCAUUUUAUCAAAACUUAAGUUGUGGUAUGAGUUGGCAGCCAUUUCAGACAGACUUCCUCUUUCGGCUGUGCAACCACAAAGACUGUGUUUGUGUCUGUGAAUGCAAGCAUUUUGUCUCAAUGUGGCAUUAUUAAUAUUACGUUUGUAUCCAGUAUUUCAAAUAUUUCUCUUUGAUGGCAAGUAGUUGGAUACUGUAUUUAAUACAGCAGGGGUCUGAUCAGAGGUUCAAAGCAGUGGAUAGUGGUUUUCCACAACCAUAAUGUCAAACUGAGGUGUUUUUUAAAAAUCUUUUUUAGUUCUUAACCUGCCAUAGUAGUCAUUGUCUGCUAAAUAACCUGCACGUUGGACAGUUUGGCUGUUAAAGCAAGUGAUUAAACCUGACUGUUUAUCGGCUUCACCUGUCUGACUGACAGUGUAUGUGCAAUCGUGAUUUCCUGAUAUCUGUUUGAGAUUAUACUUUAGAAAUGUGAUUUAAUGUUUAACUGCUGAGAUUUGUGGGGGGUGGAUCAGUUUGUGUGUUAAAAAAGAGCUGAGAAUGAAUUACAACAGGGAG